CCUGCUGGACAGCUCAGUUGGUUAGAGCAUGGUGCUGAUAAUACCAAGGCCGCAAGUUUGAUCCAGUUGCAUAUUCUUACAUUGCAGGG